CACCGCGGUUAUACGAGAGGCCCCAGUUGAUAGGCACGGCGUAAAGGGUGGUUAAGGAAAGCAUAAAUAAAGCCAAAGGGCCUCCCGGCCGUCAUACGCUCCCGAGUGUCCGAAGCCCAUAAACGAAAGUAGCUUUAGUACUGCCCACCUGACCCCACGAAAACUGAGAAACAAACUGGGAUUAGAUACCCCACUAUGCUCAGCCGUAAACCUAGACGUUAUUCCACUAUAAACGUCCGCCCGGGUACUACGAGCGUUAGCUUAAAACCCAAAGGACUUGGCGGUGCCUUAGACCCCCCUAGAGGAGCCUGUCCUAGAACCGAUAAUCCCCGUUAAACCUCACCACUUCUGGCCAACCCCGCCUAUAUACCGCCGUCGUCAGCUUACCCUGUGAAGGACUAACAGUAAGCUAAGUGGAUAUAAUCCAAAACGUCAGGUCGAGGUGUAGCGCACGAAGUGGGAAGAGAUGGGCUACAUUUUCUAUAAUAGAAUAUUCACGAACAGUACCCUGAAAAAUGACUCAAAGGAGGAUUUAGUAGUAAAAAGGAAAAAGAGUGUCCUUUUGAACCCGGCUCUGAGGCGCGUACACACCGCCCGUCACUCUCCCCUGUCACACAGCAAUAAAUGUUAUUAACACCAAAGCACCGACAAGGGGAGGCAAGUCGUAACAUGGUAAGUGUACCGGAAGGUGCACUUGGAUCAAACCCAGGGUGUGGCUGAG
rnacentral:rRNA from 1 species